UAAAAGCAAGAGUAUAUAAUGUAAGUAUUCCUAUUAUUAAUUCAAGAAAUAUUUGAGCAUGUUCUGUGUUAGAAACGAGAUGCACAGGUGAGUUGGGAGAAAUGCCUGGCCCCUCCUCUAGCAGAGAAUAUAGACGUGUACAAUCACGCUAUGAGACCUGAAGAGGAAGCACAGAGUCCUAAGAUGGGAAUGACACAGUGACCUAACCCAGUAUAGGUUAUAGGCCGGGAGAGGAUUCUGUGAAGUAAUGUUUAAAUUGUAUUCUGAAGGACAAGAGAAGUUACUCAGGUGAAGGGGGGAAGGCUACAACACAGAAUAGCAUUUUCAUAGCUGGGAAGAGCACGCAAACAGUGCAGUCUGCAAGGGAGGAACACCGGUAUGAGAGGAGCCAGGAAGACCUGGAGCACACGUUGCUAAGAACCUGCUCUCUGAACUUCCGGUCACUGAGCAGCCAAUUAAGAGUUUUAAAGAGAGAAGCUAUAGAAUCAGAUCUUUUAAACAGAUCACUGUGCCCCAGUGUGAGGAAGGCACAGGGAAUCAAAAGAAGUGGGGAGGCUUGUUCUGAAGAGGCUGUCUAGUACUCAAGGUCUACACCAGGGUGCUAACAAUGAGGACAAAAGGUGAACGGAUCUGAGACACAUUUACGCAGAACCGACAGAAUUUGGUGAUGACUAGAUGUAAAGGAGUUUUAAAGGAUGAAUCUCCAGUUUUUGGCCUGACAACUGCUACAGCGAUUUCUGACUGCUGAGUCUGAGUUCCUGCCCCAACUUAUCAUUUCUCUCUUGUCCAAUAUUCAUUCACACUUGAAAACUUUCCCUCAACACUAUUUAAUACAUAAUAGACAAUAAAUAUAUUGACUAUGACUGAUUUAUUUAAAGUCCUGUAAGAGCUAUUAGAAAGGUUCUUUACAUUAAAAUAAACAAGGUAGAGAUAAAUAAUAUAGAUACCACGUGUUGAAUCACACUAAGUCUUUGAAAUUGAGUGCAUAUUUUACACUGAAAGCACAUUUCAAUUCGGAGUAGCCAUGAAGUGCUCAGGAGCCACAUAUGGCCAGUGACUAAGGCACUGGACAGCACAGUUCUGGACAGUACAGAAUUACUGAAAAUUUUUGAGCAGGGUGUGGUUUGCAGGAUAUCACCGUAGAAAGCUUACCAGAAUAGCCAUUUUGGGGCUGAAUAGAUGAAGAAAGAGAAUAAAGGCAGGAGAUCAGCUGAGCCACUUUUCUGACACUACAGGUCUGAGACCUUGGAAUGCUUGAGAAUCAAAAAGUAAUGGAUAAAGAUUUGAAAAAGAAGAAAGGUAUUUGAAAGCAGUAGUCCUGGGGGAAACAUGAGAAGGGAAAAGAGAGCCAAAGAAUCCGAGAACACUGAAGCUGGGAAGAAGAGAAUGGUUACAACUCUGGAGGUUAACACUCUGGUAAAACAGAACACAGGAGUAUGUAAUGAGAAAGAAGUGAGAAUUUGUGAGCAAGUGUCAAGCAGUUUACGUGGGCAGUGUGAUGGGCAAUCGAGCGUGGGACAGUGUAAAAGCUGUUGAGUAGCAGUGAAACCAGAAAAUGUGCUUGGCUGGUAUCAAGCAUGAAUGUAUGCCAAGUCCCAUAAACAAUUUUAUGAUUCUUUCUCUUCACAGUGCUCGCUCUGCAGUCCCAAAGAAGAAAGCACAGUACUGGCCAGGAGGCUACGGAAUCCAGGUGCUGAGAAGACAAUGAGAGCAUAGGAUGGGGCUCAGGCUGGCCAGUGAAAUGAAAAGAGGUCUUAAAGAAAAGGAUACAGGCGGAAAGCCCCUCAAUGACCGACCACGUGCACCGUGGACACUGGCUACGGAACUCGCAUGCACGGAACUGGAAGUGCACAAGGACGAGGAGGAAUCUCGUGUUAAGCAUCUCAAUAAACUAUGACCCUCAAUCAUCUCACAACAAAUAUUUUGAAAUGAGAACCAGGACCUUUAGGAAGGCCAACUCAGACUCAAAGAUGAAUACUAUUCAAACGACUCCUUAAUAAAGAUUCUUUUCUGUGGAA